UACGGGGGGGGCAAGCGUUGUUCGGAAUUACUGGGCGUAAAGGGCGCGUAGGCGGCCUUCUAAGUCGGACGUGAAAUCCCUCGGCUUAACCGAGGAACUGCGUCCGAUACUGAAAGGCUUGAAUCCGGGAGAGGGAUGUGGAAUUCCAGGUGUAGCGGUGAAAUGCGUAGAUAUCUGGAGGAACACCGGUGGCGAAGGCGGCAUCCUGGACCGGUAUUGACACUGAGGCGCGAAAGCUAGGGUAGCAAACGGG
rnacentral:rRNA from 1 species